CCUCAAAAUCGGAGCCGGAUUUCAUUGCCCUGCAAGAUAGCAGCAUAGAGGGAGGAAACACACUGCACCUACAAAGAGAUGGGCUUCGCAGAGCCAUCACCUACUCCAGCCUGAUGUGUUUGCCAGACUUCGGAAGACUGAGAACUUCAGACAACCCUGGUUGGGCCUGUAAGGAGCACUGGGUGGGGGGACAAAAGAUCCCACAGAAUCCUCCUGGACUUGGAAGAGACUUCAGGGGUCAGCAACCCAAACCUACACAAGAAUGCUUUCUACUACGUCCCAGACAAACAGUCAUCCCACCAUUGGCUAAAGACACGUCUCCUCCCAGCUCAGAGAAAAUGGAGCCUAGCAGAGAGAGGGACUCCCACUUUGUCCUGGACUUUGCCUAAUCCCUCCCCCCCCAUCACCAAUGGCCACGUUAAUAUUCAAGCUGGUCCCAUCUUUCUCUUUCCCUAAUAGCUGCUGGAGAAAGUAAGUUUGUUCUUUUUAUUAAAACAAAAUUUUACUGGUGGCAUCGCCUAACACUUCUCAAUAAUUGCAUCCCCUACUCAGAGAGCCAUUCCUUAUAAUGAAGAGCCACAGGAAGGAACAAAAGGUCAGCGGAACUUCCCAGGACGUUCAAAUAGAUCACUUUGACAUUGUUAAUACAUCAUUCCGUGAAGAAGUCGACCUUCAGGGAAGCCGCUGGUACUUUGUGGAAUAUUCAAAUUCAAGAUAACAACAACAACAACAACAACUGAUAUUUGUGUAGUGUUUACCAUGUGCCAGGCCCUGUGCUAACUGCUUCUCAAUACUUACAACCAACAACACUAGAAGUACAUUAGGUUGAUGAAUCCCUUGCAGCAAUCAGCUCCAACUAAAACACCCGGUGCUUGAUAAAACUUUUAAAAGUCCUAAAAGUACAAUGAUGACAAGAUGAAUUCUUCUCUCCCUCCAAAUUUCCUUUUCAAACAUCAUGGGCACCAGCACAAUAGAGCCUACUAAUCAGUCAGUAGUCACAGAUCAGCAGUGGUGUGCUCCAAAUAGCUGGUUGCAGCUGAAGAGAGCUGACGGUGAACAUUUUGGGGUGAGCACUGACAGGUCAGAAACACCUUGCACAGUCAAACACUUGACCCCUGGAGGCCACAGGUUUUCAUCCACAUGGGACUGGAUCUCGAAAGCUCCCUUCUCUCUCUCCAUCUGAUGAUGCUCAGGACUGUGAUCUUAACUGGAAAUGGCUUUUCUAAGAAUGUAUCAUCCAUUCAACAAGCUCCAAGCCUCUACCUACCAUGGUACCUCUCACACUCCCAAAUUACUGUGCAUUUACUUGGUAUGUGAUACACAUUCUAUAUGCUUAA